AUCGAACGCUGGCGGCAGGCUUAACACAUGCAAGUCGAGCGAGCGGCGGACGGGUGAGUAAUGUCUGGGAAACUGCCUCAUGGAGGGGGAUAACUACUGGAAACGGUAGCUAAUACCGCAUACCCUCAGAUGAGCCUAGAUGGGAUUAGCUAGUAGGUGGGGUAAUGGCUAUCCUAGGCGACGAUCCCUAGCUGGUCUGAGAGGAUGACCAGCCACACUGCGACUUGGACACGGGCCAAGCGCCUACGGGAGGAAGCAGUGGGGAAUAGUGCACAAUGGGGGCAGGCCUGAUGCAGCCAUGCCGCGUGUGUGAAUAAGGCCUUCGGGUUGUAAAGCACUUUCAGCGAUGAGGCGUUACUCGCAGAAGAAGCACCGGCUAACUCCGUGCCAGCAGCCGCGGUAAGUC
rnacentral:rRNA from 1 species